GUGCCAGCCGCCGCGGUAAUACGUAGGGUGCGAGCGUUAAUCGGAAUUACUGGGCGUAAAGCGUGCGCAGGCGGUUAUGUAAGACAGAGGUGAAAUCCCCGGGCUCAACCUGGGAACUGCCUUUGUGACUGCAUAGCUAGAGUACGGUAGAGGGGGAUGGAAUUCCGCGUGUAGCAGUGAAAUGCGUAGAUAUGCGGAGGAACACCGAUGGCGAAGGCAAUCCCCUGGACCUGUACUGACGCUCAUGCACGAAAGCGUGGGGAGCAAACAGGAUUAGAUACCCUGGUAGUCCACGCCCUAAACGAUGUCAACUGGUUGUUGGGAAUUAACUUUCUCAGUAACGAAGCUAACGCGUGAAGUUGACCGCCUGGGGAGUACGGCCGCAAGGUUGAAACUUAAAUAAAUUGACGG
rnacentral:rRNA from 1 species